GCGGGUAUGGUUCAGUGGUAGAAUGCAGCCUUCCCAAGGCUGAGAUACGGGUUCGAUUCCCGUUACCCGCU
rnacentral:tRNA from 6 species